UUUCUCUCUUUCUCUCUCCUCUUGCAACUGCAAAGAUAUAUAUAAUAGCAGUAGACAUGGUGGUGGCAUCUCCUACUCCUAUUGGCAGUGAAAAAGUUAUCCAGGCUGUUGAGCUGCCUGUAAUAGACCUCUCAUUGUGUGAAAGAACAGAGGUCUCUAAUCUCAUUGUUAGAGCCUGUGAGCGCUACGGUUUCUUCAAGGUUAUCAACCAUGGAAUAUCCGAAGAAAUCAUCGUCAAAAUGGAAGAAGAAAGUGUCAGCUUCUUUGCGAAGCCCAUCCCUGAAAAGCAACUGGCUGGGCCAG
rnacentral:misc_RNA from 1 species